rnacentral:tRNA from 1 species
UCCUUGGUAGUCCAGUGGCUAACACUCUACACUUUCAAUGCAGAGAGUGUGGGUUUGAAUCCUGGUCAGGGAA